AGAGAGGGAACAUUUCCCAUGCAGCCCUUGGAGGGCUCUGGUUUGAAUACAGACUCACUUCUCCAAGGAUUUGACCUGACAGCUUGUUUGUUUGUGAAGGCUGGGUCUGUAUGGAAGCCUAGCCACGAUACUGAAGAGUUUUACUUUUCAGAAGAAAGAGCCUGAAGAGCAGGUACAUGUGUGACUCAGCAAUGCCUAGGCUCUGGCAAAAUUGGUGGUAAAAUCAGCCAGUCAGGAGCUCCUUUCCUCUAAGCAGACAUACCAGUGACAUUGGAGGAAUGAAGGUCUUAUCUCAAACAGAUGCAGAACUCAUUUUGGGAUACCCAGCUCCUCUGCAUUUUGCGAUAUCCAGUUCCUCUGCAUUUUGCCCCAGUGACCUGACUACAGUUGGAAGUGUUAGCACGAGUGUAAAGCCCUUACAGGAGAAGCUGACUGCCCCUAGAUGAAGAGACCAGAAUGAGAAGGAGGCCAUUUAUGGUUUGCAAUUCAGAACAAGGACACCAUGAAAAGAAGAUGAUGGGCAGGAUUCUGAAAUGAAACCAUGACACACACUUGUAAGGUGAAACUGCAGUCACUUUUCAAAUCCAGAUGAACCACAAAAACCAAGCAGAACUGUACACAUCACAGGCAACUUCUCCUGAAAGAAACUGAGUUGGGCCCACCCAAAUGAGCAAGCACAAACAGAAACGUGUUGUCUUCCCAGAAAAGUGAAAAGAUCAAACAUUCCCUGGGCAGCCAGGACCCAGACCACACCCAGUUUACCAGCAGAACAUCUUUGACCUCUCUCGUUUAUUCAAGACCCAUCAGCGAGAGACUAAACUGUGCAAUGGAAAAAUGUCCCAGUCACGAGACUUGGCUCAGAUCCUUCCUGGACUCAUUUCUAACUAUGUGACCCUAAGCCUCAGCUUCCUGAUCAGGUGAAUGGGGACAAGAGUAAUUAUUUUGUAGGCUUGCUGGGGGAAUUACAAGGAAUUUAUAAUAUGAUGAUCAAUAAAUGACAGCUUAUAUUAAUAAAAAUAACAGAAAUGGAGAAAAAGAGGAAGCAAAAACAGAAAAUAUUACUCCCAAAUACUUCCUCCAAAACUUACUUUGAGGAAUUGAUGUGAAUUUUUUUAUUACAAACAUUUUAAGCAAACAAAAUAUGGAGAGUGUACCCAUUCCCUAGCUCUUGAUUUCUAGUAUUUUGAAAUACUUAAAACACAUUUUUAAAGAAAUGAAACACCGAAGAUACAGUUGUGUAGCCCUUGUCUAUUCUGUUCUCCACACCUCUACACUCUGGACACUGUCCAACUUCCUUUUUUAUGUUCUGUUUCUUGGGGCUUCCUUCCUCCAGCCUGAACUAACAAUCACCACAACCAACUUCUCUCUCUGCAUUAUCUGUAUUCUGGCUGAAGAGUUACCUGCUUCUUCUAGGACUGCAAGCUUCUGCUGAGGAGAAAAGGAAACUCUGGCCCUCCAGCACUGCCCACUGUCUCAAAAGGAGCUCCUUAAAAGAGGCUGAAGCUGAUGGUGGUCAGGCUAGAAAGAAGAGUGCGGACCCCUCCCUGCAUAGUGCUGGGCAUUAGGGUCUUCAGCUGUGGGCUCACAGCUGUGUCCUAGAAAAUAAAUUAUUUUGACAAAUGGGAUCUAAUUAAACUAAAGAGCUUCUGCACAGCAAAAGAAACUACCAUCAGAGUGAACAGGCAAC
rnacentral:lncRNA from 10 species